rnacentral:lncRNA from 1 species
GAUUUUACACAUGAUAGCCAAGUUGAAAUUUUUGUCACAUUUUUUCUCAGGAACUACAAUACAAGGAUUUCUGAAAUUUGGUUUCAGGAUUUAUAUAAGUCAGCUAUACCGUGUGAUGCGUUUUCAGAUUCAUCACUCGACAACUUCCUGUUUACCGAACACUUGUAUGAUUUUACACAUGAUAGCCAAGUUGAAAAUUUUCGUCACAUUUUUCUCAGGAACUACAAUACAAGGAUUUCUGAAAUUUGAUUUCAGGAUUUAUAUAAGUCAGCUAUACCGUGUGAUGCGUUUUCAGAUUCAUCACUCGACAACUUCCUGUUUACCGAACACUUGCAUAUUUUUACACUAUUAAUAUUAUCCACUUGCGGCGGGGGUAUCAUCAGUGAGCAGUAGCUCGCAGUUUCACUUGUUGUUUUUGAUUUACA